rnacentral:rRNA from 1 species
GACGAACGCUGGCGGCGUGCUUAACACAUGCAAGUCGAACGGAAAGGCCCUGCUUUUGUGGGGUGCUCGAGUGGCGAACGGGUGAGUAACACGUGAGUAACCUGCCCUUGACUUUGGGAUAACUUCAGGAAACUGGGGCUAAUACCGGAUAGGAGCUCCUGCUGCAUGGUGGGGGUUGGAACGUUUCGGCGGGUGGGGAUGGACUCGCGGCUUAUCAGCUUGUUGGUGGGGUAGUGGCUUACCAAGGCUUUGACGGGUAGCCGGCCUGAGAGGGUGACCGGCCACCUGGGGACUGAGAUACGGCCCAGACUCCUACGGGAGGCAGCAGUGGGGAAUAUUGCACAAUGGUCGGAAGCCUGAUGCAGCAACGCCGCGUGCGGGAUGACGGCCUUCGGGUUGUAAACCGCUUUCGCCUGUGACGAAGCGUGAGUGACGGUAAUGGGUAAAGAAGCACCGGCUAACUACGUG